ACCCUGGAGGACUAGUGGUUAGGCCUUGGUGCUCUCACUGCCACAGCCAGGGUUUGAUUCCCAGCCGGGGAA
rnacentral:tRNA from 1 species